rnacentral:rRNA from 1 species
CCUACGUGAGGCAGCAGUGAGGAAUAUUGGUCAAUGGGCGGAAGCCUGAACCAGCCAAGUAGCGUGCGGGAUGAAGGCCCUACGGGUCGUAAACCGCUUUUGCACGGGGAUAACACCCUCCACUUGUUGAGGUCUGCAGGUACCGUGCGAAUAAGGGCCGGCUAAUACCGUGCCAGCAACCGCGGUAAUACGGAAGGCCCGAGCGUUAUCCGGAUUCAUUGGGCUUAAGGGGCGCGUAGGCGGGCGUUCAAGUCAGCUGUAAAAUCGCGCGGCUCAACCGCGCCCCGCAGUUGAAAUUGGACGCCUUGAGUUCACAACAGGCAGGCGGAAUUCGUGGUGUAGCGGUGAAAUGCAUAGAUAUCACGAGGAACCCCGAUUGCGAAGGCAGCCUGCCGGGGUGCGACUGACGCUGAGGCUCGAAGGUGCGGGUAUCAAACAGGAUUAGAUACCCCUGUAGUC